rnacentral:rRNA from 1 species
GACGAACGCUGGCGGCGUGCCUAAUACAUGCAAGUAGAACGCUGACGCAGGAACUUGCUCCUCUGGAUGAUUUGCGAACGCGUGAGUAUCGCGUAGGUAACCUGCCUGGUAGCGGCGGGUAACUAUUCGAAACGAUAGCUAAUAUCGCAUAACAGUCGAUGUUGCAUGACAUUUACUUAAAAGGUGCACUUUCAUCACUACCAGAUGGACCUGCGUUGUAUUAACUAGUUGGUGGGGUAACGGCUCACCAAGGAGACGAUACAUCUGCGACCUGAGAGGGGGAACGGCCACACUGGGACUGGAGCACGGCCCAGGAUCCUACGGGAAGGAGCAGUAGGGAAACUUCGGCAAUGGACGGAAGUCUGACCGAGGAACGCCGGGUGGGGGAAGAAGGGUCUCGGAGCGGAAAGCUCUGUUUGAAGGGAAGGACGAGUGGGAGAGUGGAAAGUGCACGCUGUGACGGUAUCUUACCAGAAAGGGACGGCUAACUACGUG